UACGAAGGGGGCUAGCGUUGUUCGGAAUUACUGGGCGUAAAGCGCGCGCAGGCGGUCUUCCAAGUCAGUGGUGAAAGCCCGGAGCUCAACUCCGGAACUGCCAUUGAAACUGUAAGACUUGAGGAUGAGAGAGGUGAGUGGAAUUCCCAGUGUAGAGGUGAAAUUCGUAGAUAUUGGGAAGAACACCGGUGGCGAAGGCGGCGCUCUGGACCGAGACUGACGCUGAGGCGCGAAAGCGUGGGGAGCAAACAGG
rnacentral:rRNA from 1 species